rnacentral:rRNA from 1 species
UUGACCUCGGAUCAGGUACCCUGACUUAGCUUUAUAGCGGGGGAGA